GACAGAGGAUGCAAGCGUUAUCCGGAAUGAUUGGGCGUAAAGCGUCUGUAGGUGGCUUUUUAAGUCCGCCGUCAAAUCCCAGGGCUCAACCCUGGACAGGCGGUGGAAACUACCAAGCUGGAGUACGGUAGGGGCAGAGGGAAUUUCCGGUGGAGCGGUGAAAUGCGCAGAUAUCGGGAAGAACACCCGUGGCGAAGGCGGCUCUCUGGGGCGGUACUGACGCUGAGACGCGAAAGCGUGGGGAGCGAACGAGG
rnacentral:rRNA from 1 species